rnacentral:tRNA from 1 species
UCCCUGGUGGCUCAGCUGGUAAAGAAUCCACCUGCAAAGCAGGAGACCCAGGUUCAAUUCCUGGGCUGGGAA